GACCCCGCACAAGCGGUGGAUCAUGUUGUUUAAUUCGAAGAUACGCGAAAAACCUUACCAGGUCUUGACAUCCCUUGCAAUGCUGUAGAGAUACAGUGGAGGUUAUCAAGGAGACAGGUGGUGCAUGGUUGUCGUCAGCUCGUGUCGUGAGAUGUUGGUUAAGUCCCGCAACGAGCGCAACCCUUAUUGCUAGUUGCCAUCAUUUAGUUGGGGACUCUAGCGAGACUGCCAGUGAUAAACUGGAGGAAGGUGGGGAUGACGUCAAAUCAUCAUGCCCCUUAUGACCUGGGCUACAAACGUGAUACAAUGGCUAUUACAGAGGGCCGCAAAGCUGUGAAGUGAAGCUAA
rnacentral:rRNA from 1 species